rnacentral:tRNA from 1 species
AGUCCUGUAGCUCAAUUGGUUAGAGCGUUCUCCUUAUAAGAGAGAGGUUCUUCGUUCAAAUCGAAGCAGGAUUACCA